rnacentral:tRNA from 1 species
GAGAAAGAUAAUCGAACUGCUAAUUCGAUACCACCAUGACUGAAACUCAUGGCUUCCUCA